GAAUGACUUUUCUUAAAAAAAAAUAUAUAUAAGUUUUAUGUGGAAAUAGGAGAGUAUGAUUAUGAUUUUUGACUUUAGCUUCAUGUAUUUAUUUUUGCAAAUUUUCUUCUCUGGCCUUUUAUUUUCUUGCCACCAGUGACAGUGUCAUUGUCAUAAUAUAGUUUACUUGUCUUAGAGGAUCUAUAUAAAGAGGUUGCUUCUAAGACUGAAGAAGGUUUUAAUUUGUCCAGCAAAUUUCAUCUGUGUAUAAUAUCUGAGUGACCUUCAAUGUCACUACUAACUAUACUUAGUAGUGAUAUAGUUGAUUUCUUUUUAGGUGUCUAUGUCUUUAUGGGUAAUGUUACCUACAAUAAAUCUUUGUGGUCCGGACCUUUUUCGGACUCUACACAUAACGGGAGCUUAGUAUACCGAGUUGCCCUUUCUUAUAUUUUGUUUUAGCUGGUAAAAUUGAUAUCAUGUGACUAGGAAAUCACGGGUUCAAGCCGUGGAAACAGCCUCUUGUCAGAAAUGCAGAGUAAGGCUGCGUAUAGUAAACCCUUUUGAUCCGGUCCUUUUCCAAACCUCGCGCAUAGCGGGAGAUUAGUGUAACGGGCUUCCUUUUUUUAUGUUUUGAUGGGUUGAGUUACUCGUUUAUUAUAUUAAUGAAAAGUAAUAAAUAUCUGAUGAAAUAAUUAAAAUACACACAAGUUGGUCUAAAUUACAGUCAUAAAGACAAAUGGUUAUGUGAGAAAAUCUUUAUAUAUGCCAGGCUGUGUUCAGUUGAUUCAACGCUAGGUAACCUGUCGUUGUCUGACACGUGUGCUGAUGUUACCACGUGGAGGGACCAGAGUGGCCUAUAUAUUCAACUAGGUUGGAUUUUGUUUAAACUAUAAGUAGUCUUUUUCAGUUUUGUCAAUGUUAAAUUUAUGGUCAUUUUUUAUUGUUUGGCACAUGGAGGAUAGGUCAUUAACAAAUCAUAAGGGCAACAAAUAGGAUACUGUUAUGAAAUAUAACUCAAAAUAACAAUACGAAAUUUGGAAAUAAAGGCAAAGUAGUAAAAUAUGAAGAAG
rnacentral:lncRNA from 1 species